GCGCGGUUAGCUCAAUUGGUAGAGCGCUACAUUGACGUUGUAGAUGUUGCAGGUUCAAGUCCUGCACCGCGCA
rnacentral:tRNA from 1 species